CGAGCGUAUGAAGAUGCGUUGCUGAAAUGCAGCAUAAACAAGGAGGGAGAGUGAUUCACAGCCUCUUGACAUAGUUUCCGGGAAAAGUACCAAAGAAUUUGGUUCUUCUUGAGGUUCCUGAAAAAUAGAAGCAAUAAAUGAAAGGGGGGUAACAAGGACGAAGGAUCAGUUCAUAUAGGGGGGCUUGAUCAUUUCCCAUUUACAAGGCUUCGUUAAGAGAGCAACCCCCGAGGGGUUUGGGAGCAGAAGGAAGACAACUCGCAUCGGGAAGACAGAGGAAGCAGUGUUUGCUGCCUAAGUGAUGUGCUCCCCUCACGUCCCGCUAAACCACACUCGGCCUCAGCCUCGCAAACUAAGGAGAAGGAGGGUCCUCGGAGGAGGUGGGUGGUAGAACUCAGCCCCUAGCUGCUGAACAGGAGAGCGAAUGAGGAACAAGGUGGCAAGGUGGGAGGCUGGCAGGGUGACAGGAAGAGUGGAAAAUCCUAAGGCAAGGGCCUCCCAGGGGCCAGGGGCUCCCUUGACACAGGCGUGACAUUAAGGCAUUAUCAGGGACAUUGUCACUGUCAAAAGAGUUUUAUUAUCUCAUAGAAGAUCACGCUCAGUGCUACAUCACUCAUUUAAAAAUAGCACUGGGCUUUCCUAAUUCUGUAAGUGGAAAAAAAUAGCACUAUUUUAUGAGGCCAGAGCCCCUCAUAAAAUAGAGAAAUUGUGAACAAUUCACAAAACCACUAACAAAAAAAAAAAAAGGAAGCUUGACUACUAUUUGCAGGUGGGGUUCUCUCACUGGGCAGGAUUUCUAACGUGUUGUGUUAAACCCAAUGCACAAAUGACCAUCCUUAUAAUUCUCUUUUGUUGCAGAUAAUGUUAUCCCUUGGAAACUUUUUGUCCAAGUAGGUGCACUGAAUUCUUCUUUAGGAUUUCCAGCACAAAUAAAGUGAAGAGGGUCUCUAAAGUUUCCCCUCUCCUUUAUAUUCUGAAACUUACUGUCUUGGUUUGCUGACUGUUCCCCUUGCUCCCUGGGUGGGCAAGUCAUCUUACUUUGCUGCUAGAUGGGAAUUCAAGAAAGUAGAACCAGGGGCUUGUGUCUGCUCGUGGCCUCGGUUCUUUCAUUAUUUCGCCACUAAUGGAUGUGUGUGGGGAAAGACCACAUUUCCUCAUCUCUUGCUCCCCUGCAUCCUCCUGUGCCUGUAUUGUUUUUCUUUUACGUCUUUCCUCUGUGUCCCAGUAUGCGAUAACUUUUGUCUACAAAUGUUUUCUCAGAAAAUCUCGUCUUCUUUUAAGAUGGUAACAAUGGGAUUUCCUUGUAAGUGGGAAGAAUGAAACGUCUCUCCACUUCUAUCACAAGUUAAAGCCAAGAGACUUUCCCUUAACAAGAACACCUUUCUGACUUCACUCUGCUCAGUGAGAGUCGCUACGUUUCAGGCCUGUGAGGACUGAGGAGGGACCCGGCCACUCACCAGGACCUGCCACGAGGAAGAGUCCAGGACACAUAUUUGAGAGUUUUUUUUUUUUAAAGAGAGAAGUUCACAAGAAAAAGUUUCAGCAUAUUUUCUCCUUUUGUGGAUUAUA